GAUGAACGCUAGCGGGAGGCCUAACACAUGCAAGCCGAGCGGUAUAGAUCUUUCGGGAUCUAGAGAGCGGCGCACGGGUGCGGAACACGUGUGCAACCUACCUUUAUCAGGGGGAUAGCCUUUCGAAAGGAAGAUUAAUACCCCAUAAUAUAUUUGAUGGCAUCAUUAGAUAUUGAAAACUCCGGUGGAUAGAGAUGGGCACGCGCAAGAUUAGAUAGUUGGUGAGGUAACGGCUCACCAAGUCAAUGAUCUUUAGGGGGCCUGAGAGGGUGAUCCCCCACACUGGUACUGAGACACGGACCAGACUCCUACGGGAGGCAGCAGUGAGGAAUAUUGGACAAUGGGUGAGAGCCUGAUCCAGCCAUCCCGCGUGAAGGAUGACGGCCCUAUGGGUUGUAAACUUCUUUUGUAUAGGGAUAAACCUACCCUCGUGAGGGUAGC
rnacentral:rRNA from 1 species